AAAACGGCCCUUUUCAGGGCCACCAAAUUCGUGGUUCUUGCGUUUA
rfam:Macrostomum lignano uti_cns_0015433, whole genome shotgun sequence.